GUGGGGAAUCUUGCGCAAUGGUCUAACGACUGACGCAGCGACGCCGCGUGUGGGAGGACGCCUUUCGGGGUGUAAACCACUGUUGCCCGGGACGAACAGCCCUUUUCGAGGGGUCUGACGGUACCGGGUGAGGAAGCACCGGCUAACUCCGUGCCAGCAGCCGCGGUAAUACGGAGGGUGCGAGCGUUGUCCGGAAUCAUUGGGCGUAAAGGGCGCGUAGGUGGCGCGGUCAGUUCGUGGUGAAAGCGCGGGGCUCAACCCCGCGUCGGCCAUGAAUACUGCUGGGCUGGAGCACUGUAGAGGCAGGCGGAAUUCCGGGUGUAGCGGUGGAAUGCGUAGAGAUCCGGAAGAACACCGGUGGCGAAGGCGGCCUGCUGGGCAGUUGCUGACACUGAGGCGCGACAGCGUGGGGAGCAAACAGGAUUAGAAACCCCGGUAGUCC
rnacentral:rRNA from 1 species